CUAAGAAUAUUCCGCAAUGGACGGAAGUCUGACGGAGCGACGCCGCGUGGAUGACGAAGGCCGAAAGGUUGUAAAGUUCUUUUGCUGGGGAAGAAUAACCGCAGGAGGGAAUGCCUGUGGGAUGACAAGAACCGGCGAAUAAGCCCCGGCCAACUACGUGCCAGCAGCCGCGGUAACACGUAGGGGGGCGAGCGUUGUUCGGAAUUACUGGGCGUAAAGGGCAUGUAGGCGGCUUGGAAAGCCUGGCGUGAAAGUCUGCAGCUUAACUGCAGGGGUGCGCUGGGAACUGCUGAGCUUGAGUGACGGAGAGGGAGCUGGAAUUCCUGGUGUAGGGGUGAAAUCUGUAGAUAUCAGGAAGAACACCGAUGGCGAAGGCAAGCUCCUGGCCGAUGACUGACGCUGAGGUGCGAAAGUGUGGGGAUCAAACAGGAUUAGAUACCCUGGUAGUCCACACAGUCAACGAUGUGCACUAGGUGCUGGGGCGGUAGCUUCGGUGCCGGAGCGAACGUGGUAAGUGCACCGCCUGGGGAGUAUGCUCGCAAGGGUGAAACUCAAUGAAUUGACGGGGUCAU
rnacentral:rRNA from 1 species